UACGUAGGGUGCGAGCGUUGUCCGGAAUUACUGGGCGUAAAGAGCUCGUAGGUGGUUUGUCGCGUUGUUCGUGAAAACUCACAGCUUAACUGUGGGCGUGCGGGCGAUACGGGCAGACUGGAGUACUGCAGGGGAGACUGGAAUUCCUGGUGUAGCGGUGAAAUGCGCAGAUAUCAGGAGGAACACCGGGUGGCGAAGGCGGCGUUCUGGACUGCAACUGACACUGAGGAACGAAAGCCAGGGGAGCAAACGGGG
rnacentral:rRNA from 1 species